AUGGUCUCACUGGCUCCCCUGCUCUGCCUCGUGGUGCUCUGGGUCCAGGGUUCCUCCGGGCAGAUUGUGCUGACUCAGACCCCAGAGUCCCUGGCGGUGUCUCCAGGAGAUCGAGUGACCAUCAAGUGCAAAGCCAGCUCCAGCCUUACUUAUAGUAGCUCUGGGAGUACCUAUCAGCUCUUACACUGGUACCAGCAGAAACCUGGACAAGCUCCAAAGCUCCUCAUCUAUGAUGCUUCCACACGGCAGUCAGGAGUCCCAGCCCGGUUCAGCGGCAGUGGCUCUGGCACUGAUUUCACUCUCACCACGUGA